UGGCGGUUAGUAUAAGGAUUACAUUUUGCUUACACCAAAAAAAUGAGGUCACCUCAUCGCCAA
rnacentral:tRNA from 1 species